rnacentral:rRNA from 1 species
UGCCAGUAGUUAUAUGCUUGUCUCAAAGAUUAAGCCAUGCAUGUCUAAGUACAAGCGAAAAUAAAGUGAAACCGCAAAAGGCUCAUUAUAUCAGUUAUGGUUCCUUAGAUCGUAUCCACAAUUACUUGGAUAACUGUGGUAAUUCUAGAGCUAAUACAUGCACUUAAAGAGAAACCAUUUCAUAUGGGAUCUCUGCUUUUAUUAGAUUUAAACCAAUGGGGAAUGUUUCGGCAUUCUCAAUCAAAAUGGUUGAACUCUGGAUAAUUUGUUGAUCGCAUGGUCUCGUACCGGCGACGGAUCUUUCAAAUGUCUGCCCUAUCAACUAUUGAAGGUAGUGUCUUGGACUACCUUGGUUGCAACGGGUAACGGGGAAUCAGGGUUCGAUUCCGGAGAGGGAGCCUGAGAAACGGCUACCACAUCUAAGGAAGGCAGCAGGCGCGUAAAUUACCCACUCCCGGCACGGGGAGGUAGUGACGAAAAAUAACAAUACAAGACUCACAUCCGAGGCCUUGUAAUUGGAAUGAGUACACUUUAAAUCCUUUAACAAGGAUCAAUUGGAGGGCAAGUCUGGUGCCAGCAGCCGCGGUAAUUCCAGCUCCAAUAGCGUAUAUUAAAGUUGUUGCGGUUAAAACGUUCGUAGUUGAACUUGUGUUUCGCACGGGCAGUGCCUAGGACUAGGUAACUAGGACGGUACGUUGUCUUAUCUUUCCUAUUCUUAAUCGGAUUUGGAAAAAGUGCGUGAACGUAUUAUCGGCGUGCUCGCGUUCUACGAGCAUAAGCCCAUCUCAGUGCUCUUAAAUGAGUGUUGUUGUGGGCCGAUACAAAUUACUUUGAACAAAUUAGAGUGCUUAAAGCAGGCUUUUAAUGCCUGAAUAUUUUGUGCAUGGAAUAAUGGAAUAGGACAUCUGUUCUACUUUCAUUGGUUUAUUAGACCAAGAUGUAAUGAUUAAUGGAAGCAGUUGGGGGCAUUAGUAUUACAACGCGAGAGGUGAAAUUCUUAGACCGUUGUAAGACUGACUAAAGCGAAAGCAUUUGCCAAAGAUGUUUUCAUUUAAUCAAGAACGAAAGUUAGAGGUUCGAAGGCGAUCAGAUACCGCCCUAGUUCUAACCAUAAACGAUGCCAGCUAGCAAUUGGAUGUAGCUACUUCUAUGGCUCUUUCAGUCGCUUCUCGGGAAACCAAAGCUUUUGGGCUCCGGGGGAAGUAUGGUUGCAAAGCUGAAACUUAAAGGAAUUGACGGAAGGGCACCACCAGGAGUGGAGCCUGCGGCUUAAUUUGACUCAACACGGGGAAACUUACCAGGUCCGAACAUAAAUGAGUAAGACAGAUUGAUAGCUCUUUCUCGAAUCUAUGGGUGGUGGUGCAUGGCCGUUCUUAGUUCGUGGAGUGAUUUGUCUGGGUAAUUCCGAUAACGAACGAGACUCAAAUAUAUUAAAUAGAUGCAUUCAGGACUAUGGCGCUGAAGCUUUGCAUGCCCUUUUGUUUAUUCAUCGAUUGGGUGCAAUUUCGGUUGUACAUGAAAGAUGUGUGACAAAUGAGUGGUUAUGUAGGUGGAGUCAUACCUGUUUGUUUGUCUAAAUAUACAAAAUAGACACUUAGCUUCUUAAAUGGACAAAUUGUGUCUAACAAUAAUGAGAUUGAGCAAUAACAGGUCUU